GACGAACGCUGGCGGCGUGCUUAACACAUGCAAGUCGAACGGAAAGGCCCUGCUUUUGUGGGGUGCUCGAGUGGCGAACGGGUGAGUAACACGUGAGUAACCUGCCCUUGACUUUGGGAUAACUUCAGGAAACUGGGGCUAAUACCGGAUAGGAGCUCCUGCUGCAUGGUGGGGGUUGGAAAGUUUCGGCGGUUGGGGAUGGACUCGCGGCUUAUCAGCUUGUUGGUGGGGUAGUGGCUUACCAAGGCUUUGACGGGUAGCCGGCCUGAGAGGGUGACCGGGCACAUUGGGACUGAGAUACGGCGCAGAAGCCGACGGGAGGCAGAAGGGGGGAAUAUUGCACAAUGGGCGGAAGCCUGAUGCAGCAACGCCGCGUGCGGGAUGACGGCCUUCGGGUUGUAAACCGCUGUCGCCUGUGACGAAGCGUGAGUGACGGUAAUGGGUAAAGAAGCACCGGCUAACUACGUG
rnacentral:rRNA from 1 species